rnacentral:rRNA from 1 species
UACGGGGGGGGCAAGCGUUGUUCGGAAUUACUGGGCGUAAAGGGCUGGUAGGCGGCCAACUAAGUCGGAUGUGAAAUCCCCAGGCUUAACCUGGGAACUGCAUCCGAUACUGGUCGGCUUGAAUCCGGGAGAGGGAUGCAGAAUUCCAGGUGUAGCGGUGAAAUGCGUAGAUAUCGGGAAGAACACCCGUGGCGAAGGCGGUUCUCUGGGACGGUACUGACGCUGAGACGCGAAAGCGUGGGGAGCGAACAGG